CUGCCGACCCUGUCCAGGCAAAGCACAAAACAUGUCAAGCUCCCAGCCAAGAAACCCAAACCCUCCCCUGCAACUUGCUCUCUGCGUGAGCUAGUGGCUCGGUGCCGAACUGCAAUGAACUCCAACUGCACUGCACAGUUAUACUGGUGUCCACCGGCUGUUAGAUCUCCGGCUCAUCGUGUCGCUGUAAUGCUUGCGCUGUUGGGGUCAUAUAUUCGAUUCCGCUCAUUGGAGAUUGUCCAUAAUUCAGAAGUGUCAUCACGAACGCUGUCUCAUCUUUUAUUUUGAAAUAAAAGGCAGGAGCGCUGCCUGAUCAUAUAAGGAGGAGGAGAAAACUGGUUCUUACAACAAACGCUAUCUCAUUUACUUUGCCUGAGGUAUCACGAGAUUUCGUUUGAAUUACUGUGGUAGUUUACCUUCUCACGAGCUGCAAUCAUGAGGAGAUAUAAUGCAAUGGCAGUUCCUUCUUGUGCGUGUGCAUCUCCAACAGAAGAAAGGGUCAGAAAAAGGCACUGAUGGGACUUGGUUAAAAGUGCACACAGGAGGAGGAUCAGAGGGAAGCAGCGGUUCAGUUCAAAAGAACUCGAGACAAAUACGCAAUCUAUGUAUGAUAUUUCCCCUCUCUUUUAGCAAUCAGUGGCAACAGCAUCCUAUGCUGGGAGCUAUACCUUUCCUGCUUAGGUGAAUAAUCUGCUGGUUCUUUUCUUCACGGAGACGAACUCUUCUUCCAGUUGUUUCUUGGGACAUCUGAAUUCUUGGGAACAUUUCUAUGAUAGGCAUGCCCGUAAAAGGAAUGGUUCGUGCAAUUGUGCUUGCUGCCAUCAAAUUGCAGACUUUCACUACCUAUGGUGCAUGGUCAGUAUUUCCUCAAAUGCUGCAUGGUCAGAAUCUCCUCAGAUGUUGCAAGGUCAGAAUUUUUGCAAACGUUGCAUGGUCAGAAGCAGCUCAACAUGAUGCGGAUUGCAGGUCAUUCAGGCCUAUGUCAAGUUUCAUCAGAUAGAAAAGUCUCUCCUUAUAAUGUUAUAAUGCGAAAGUCUCUCCUUAUAAUGUUAUAAUGCGCAGAGCUCCUGAGCGUUCUCCAAAAAACGGUGAACAGAUAAAAUUGUAAUAGGGCUGAACUUUAGAACAAGAACAGAUCAGCUCUCUGGUCUAAGCCUAGGACGCAGGGACAAGGUCAAAGGGAAACAAGGAUGUCCAUAGCUAAAGUCCAAAUGCGACAUCAAAUCAUCAAGAAUGCCAUGGACUGAGACUGGUCAAACCCAACCUUUUCAAGUCAUGCUCAUACCGGCAGCUGCAACAGUUUUUUUUUUCGCAUACCAAAUGCAGAGUAACCAUUGGCAGCUGCAGGUGCACCUCAUCACAAUUUCUAACUAGUUUGUGAACUCAUCAGGCAGGAACUGUAACCUGGAUACAAAUGCCUGUCGCUCUGGAAUCUGGAUACAAAUCUCAGACACCAAGCUGCAGGACCCGUUGGUUUCAGCUCCUUGCCAGACAAAUCAAAAUUGUCCUACUUUUGUUUGAUCCGAACUUUCAAACUGCAUUAUCCGGUCGUCGAAAAAGUUCAGCAUCCGGUCCAAUUCGACAAACGGAGAUGACUCAAAACUCAACCUGGGCUAGAAACAUCAGCACGUUUCCGGACAGAGGACAUGGCGAAACGGUUGGUGAAUGGUGAACAGUUUUUGCUGAUGCGACUUCAGAAAUGUUUGGUAGCACUUGAAAACGGCACAAGCAUGUUUGAACCCGGACACUGCUACCAGUCACCCGAUCAUCAGCAGUUGUUGAUCGAGGCGCCGUGGACCGGCGACUUUGGGGCACCAUUCGUCGAGAAGAGCGGCGAGUUUUCAGUCCCUGAGACGCUCAUAUGCGACAUCGCAGCAGCAGCAUGUCCGCUUGACUGCAUGCCUUGGACUCGAUCUCCUAAGACGGCUGAGAUUGCGUUUGACCGUUUCUGAUUGGCCGGCUUCCUAAUCCGAGACCUUUCGACGCUAAUUUUGCACGAGUUUGUGAGGGAAACAGUUGGACUAGUGAAGCUUCGCAGGUUGUAUCUUGUGCGCUAGAAAGUUGGAAGUUCGCAACGGCACGUGUGUAGCUGUUUACUACUAGAUGGUUGGUAGCAGUGUUGAAUUCAGGAUAGCAAAAUGAUGGGCUGAUGAAGACUGGCGAGUCUGUCUGACUGUUAAGCCAUGUACCCAGCCAAUUGCAGCUGAAUGGUUCAUACUGAAGUGACAUAUUUUCAGAGCAGAAACGUGACAUGUUUAGAAGAAGGAUAUAGGAUUACAAAACACGUCAGCAUCUUGUUGUUCUAGUACAAAGCGUGGUCAUGUGAAUGUUCACUUGGAAUAAAAGAAUCUGCAUUGCAGAAAUUCAGUCAGGCCUUAAUUUUUAGUGAACUGGGUGCAGCAUUCAGAUCGUUUGAAAUGUGCUGUUAAUGCAUUCAUUACUG